UCCCAGACUCCUACGGGAGGCAGCAGUGGGGAAUAUUGCACAAUGGGGGAAACCCUGAUGCAGCGACGCCGCGUGGGCGACGAAGCGCUCCGGCGCGUAAAGCCCUGUCAGCAGGGAAGAACAAAGACAGUACCUGACCAAGAAGCCCCGGCUAACUACGUGCCAGCAGCCGCGGUAAUACGUAGGGGGCAAGCGUUAUCCGGAUUUACUGGGUGUAAAGGGAGCGUAGACGGCGGUGCAAGCCAGAUGUGAAAGCCCGGGGCUCAACCCCGGGACUGCAUUUGGAACUGGCAAACUGGAGUGUGUGAGAGGAUAGUGGAACUCCAGGUGUAGGAGUGAAAUCCGUAGAUAUCUGGAGGAACAUCAGUGGCGAAGGCGACUAUCUGGCACAUAACUGACGCUGAGGAGCGAAAGCGUGGGUAGCAAACAGGAUUAGAUACCCGAGUACUA
rnacentral:rRNA from 1 species